rnacentral:lncRNA from 1 species
UUAAGAGAGGCCAAACCCACCUAAUAAAGUUCCUAUUUGGUUCUUAGUGUUUAGGUUAAUUACUUUGUAAGUCCCUUUAUUUUAAACGCAAAAUAGCUCUGCCAUUACUUGCGAAGAGUAUCUAACUUUCAAGGGUAGAAUGAAUGUAUGAUAUAACUUGUAAUGUAUAUUUUAAAUAAUUACUCACAAUGUCUCCGCCAUUACUUCCAAAGAGUUUCUAACUUUCAAGAGUAGAACGUAUGAUAUGACUUGACCUAAUGCAG